GAGGAAGCAGCUCUAUUUUAAUUCGUAGGAAGGGAGAGGUCGGCAAGAAUUUAAUAGGGAAGUGAGGUGCUUGUUUCGUGGGGAUUUAGGAGCCGCACAAGGAGAAGUACCUUACGGGUGAGGUGCUUGGAGGUUCUUCGACAUUUGCAACAGGAGUACUUCAUCAUCAUCAUAAUUAUUAUAUAUUAGAUGAGUUUGGAGCUAGAGAAAGUAUAGCUUGGUGAGGAUGGGUAGAGACAUUAAAGACGAUAGCAUUUAUGUUCUUGAUGCUUAAAAUACCCUUAGCCUUUUGUUUGGCUACUUCAUUUACGAUAUUAUAAUUAAAGACUAUGUAAUGCUUGGCAUUUAUGUUGGUGCCAAUACUUGGAUUUUCCUUUAUUAUUUCGAUGAUGUAUUUAGUAACACCAAAUGUUUUCAAAUGUUUCAUCUGGUUACGAAUGAGCAGAUUUAUAUGA